GCUGAGCCUGAGCUGGGUGGGUAAGCGUGAACUGCUGAGCCUGAGCUGGGCGGAUGCUUGUAUAAGGGUUUCAGCCAAUGUUGGAACAAAAUCCAAAAUCAGGCCAAAAUACCCACCUGUCAUGACUGGAUCAAGCCAGCUCCACCUUUUACAACCAGGCUGGAGUGCAGUGGCACGAACACGACUCACUGCAGCCUUG